rnacentral:rRNA from 1 species
GAGGUGCGAAAGCCUGGGGAGCAAACAGGAUUAGAUACCCUGGUAGUCCACGCCGUAAACGAUGUCAACUAGCCGUUGGAAUCCUUGAGAUUUUAGUGGCGCAGCUAACGCAUUAAGUUGACCGCCUGGGGAGUACGGCCGCAAGGUUAAAACUCAAAUGAAUUGACGGGGGCCCGCACAAGCGGUGGAGCAUGUGGUUUAAUC